GAUAAUAAUCUGACUUAUAAAGAGAUGGCAACUCUCUUAUGCCAAAUUGAAGCGGUAUUAAAUUCAAGACCAUUAUAUACAACUAAUACUGACAUUGACGAUUGGGAAGUUUUGUCAUCAGGUCACUUCCUGAUAGGAAGGCCCACAUUAGGACCUAUUGAGACCAUUUCCGAGGAAAGAAUUGCAAAUUUAGAUAGAUGGAAAUUAAUUCAUAAAAUGAAAAGAGAAUUUUGGGUUAUAAUGGAAGAAUGAUUAUUUAAACACCCUUCAACAAAGAAAUAAAUGGAAACUAGGAAUGCCAAACCUUAAUAGAGGUCAAAUUGUGUUACUAAAAGAUGAAAAUUGACAUCCCGCUAGAUGGCGCUUGGGAAAAGUAGAAGAAAUAUAUAAGGGAAAAGAAGACCGAUUCAGAGUAGUAAAAGUCAAACUACAAGAUGGUUCAAUUUUAAAACCUAUUACAAAAGUUUGCCCUCUAACUGGAAUUGAGGCUGAAGAGAGCAAAUCACCUUUCCCGGUCAAGCAGACUAAGGAUACUCGCAGGAGCCCUAGAAUCCAUAAGCUUGGAUUAAUGCCGAUAAUGUUAAUGCUAAUGUUAUUUUGCCAGGUGUCUAGUGCAAGUUCACCUACGCAAGGACAACAAAAGUGGUCAUUCAAGAAAUUACACGAGACUAAUUCCAUUUACUUAGAUCCAAGGGGAGACGUAGAAGUCAUAGCCUCAUCUUGGGAUCUAAUUGUAUAUUACAACAUGAUAAGAAAGGGAAAACUGUUGAAUGGGAAAAUUAAACUGGUGUGUGACAAGCUUCAUGGGUUUGAAGAUUAAUGUAAUACUUUUCUUGAUAAUACUCAACGACAGAUUACAGAUUUGGAAGAGCACAAUAAACUGUUUAUGACUCAGGAUAGGAAAAUAUAUAGGCGAGCUCCAUUCGAGUUUAUGGGCUCUCUCUAUCACAUACUUUUUGGUGUAAUGGACGCUGAAAAUAGGGAUAACUUAGAGGGUAACAUGAAGAACCCCUUAGAUAACCAGUAAACUGCAGAAUUGGUUAAAAAGCAAACCUUUGUAGUAGAAUCAACAAUAAAUAUCUUCAAAAGAACUACGGAUGAUAUAAACUCAAAUUUUCCAAGUAUGAAUACGCGAAUAGAAAACAUAACAGAAGUUUUGAAAGAAAGUUACUAUGUCUAUAAAGAGUCAAUUAAUUUAUUUAUGGUAACAAAACAAUUA